rnacentral:rRNA from 1 species
GACGGAGGAUGCAAGUGUUAUCCGGAAUCACUGGGCGUAAAGCGCGCGUAGGCGGCCCGGUAAGUCCGCUGUGAAAGUCCAGGGCUCAACCCUGGAAAGCCGGUGGAUACUGUCGGGCUAGAGUACGGAAGAGGCGAGUGGAAUUCCCGGUGUAGCGGUGAAAUGCGCAGAUAUCAGGAGGAACACCAAUGGCGAAGGCAGCACUCUGGGACGUGACUGACGCUGAGACGCGAAAGCGUGGGGAGCAAACAGG